rnacentral:sRNA from 1 species
GCAUUUAUCUAGCAUAGGAAGCGUGCAAAGUUACACCGGAGAUAUAAUGCGUGAGAGCUGUAGGGGGAAUGCGUUGGAGCUAAAACUCUGUAAAAUCC